rnacentral:misc_RNA from 1 species
GAUGAAGAACGUAGCGAAAUGCGAUACUUGGUGUGAAUUGCAGAAUCCCGUGAACCAUCGAGUCUUUGAACGCAAGUUGCGCCCGAAGCCAUCAGGUUGAGGGCACGUCUGCCUGGGCGUCACAUAUCGUUGCCCAAUGCCUAUUGCAGUGCAAUAGGAAUUUCUAGGGCGAAUGAUGGCUUCCCGUGAGCGUUGUUGCCUCGCGGUUGGUUGAAAAUCGAGUCCUUGGUAGGGUGUGCCAUGGUAGAUGGUGGUCGAGUUAGAACGAUACCGAUCAUGUGCAUGCUCCCCAAAAUAUGGCCUCUAUGACCCACACGCGUCUUUUGACGCUCAUGACGAGACCUCAGGUCAGGCGGGGCUACCCGCUGAAUUUAAGCAUAUCAAUAAGCGGUGGA